rnacentral:rRNA from 1 species
UACACGACCGUACCGCAAACCGACACUGGUGCGCGAGAUGAGUAUUCUAAGGCGCUUGAGAGAACUCAGGAGAAGGAACUCGGCAAAUUGACACCGUAACUUCGGAAGAAGGUGUGCCUUUAGUAGGUGAACCAUUUACUUGGGGAGCCCAAUGAGGCUGCAAAAAAUCGGUGGCUGCAACUGUUUAUUAAAAACACAGCACUCUGCUAAGACGAAAGUCGACGUAUAGGGUGUGACGCCUGCCCGGUGCUGGAAGAUUAAAUGAUGGGGUGCAAGCUCUUGAUUGAAGUCCCAGUAAACGGCGGCCGUAACAAUAACGGUCCUAAGGUAGCGAAAUUCCUUGUCGGGUAAGUUCCGACCUGCACGAAUGGCGUAAUGAUGGCCACACUGUCUCCUCCUGAGACUCAGCGAAGUUGAAAUGUUUGUGAUGAUGCAAUCUCCCCGCGGAAAGACGGAAAGACCCCAUGAACCUUUACUGUAGCUUUGUAUUGGACUUUGAACAGAUCUGUGUAGGAUAGGUGGGAGGCUUUGAAGUGUGGUCGCUAGAUCGCAUGGAGCCAACGUUGAAAUACCACCCUGGUGUGUUUGAGGUUCUAACCUAGGUCCAUUAUCUGGAUCGGGGACAGUGCAUGGUAGGCAGUUUGACUGGGGCGGUCUCCUCCCAAAGUGUAACGGAGGAGUUCGAAGGUACGCUAGGUACGGUCGGACAUCGUGCUAAUAGUGCAAUGGCAUAAGCGUGCUUAACUGCGAGACUGACAAGUCGAGCAGAUGCGAAAGCAGGACAUAGUGAUCCGGUGGUUCUGUAUGGAAGGGCCAUCGCUCAACGGAUAAAAGGUACUCUGGGGAUAACAGGCUGAUACCGCCCAAGAGUUCAUAUCGACGGCGGUGUUUGGCACCUCGAUGUCGGCUCAUCUCAUCCUGGGGCUGUAGCCGGUCCCAAGGGUAUGGCUGUUCGCCAUUUAAAGAGGUACGUGAGCUGGGUUUAAAACGUCGUGAGACAGUUUGGUCCCUAUCUUCCGUGGGCGCUGCAGAUUUGAGGAAGCCUGCUCCUAGUACGAGAGGACCGGAGUGGACGAACCUCUGGUGUAUCGGUUGUCACGCCAGUGGCAUUGCCGAGUAGCUAAGUUCGGAAGAGAUAACCGCUGAAAGCAUCUAAGCGGGAAACUCGUUUCAAGAUUAGAUCUGCCGGGGCCUUGAGCCCCCUAAAGAGUCGUUCAAGACCAGGACGUUGAUAGGUCAGGUGUGGAA